ACUUGCGUAAAAUGUUGUUAUCAUCCAAACAAUGAUUUUAUUGAAAAUUUGUGCAAAGUGUUAUUAUCAGCUAAUUAUUUUGUGUGGAAAUUUGAAGGCUGACAGUGUAAAAGUUCAUUUUUUUUACGUUUUAUUUUUCUACAACCUUUACAGUUUUCGUCGUUCAUUUGAUCGGUUCCUCUCCGACUGGCUACUUCAGCUUCACACUUGAAUGCACUUCAUGUAAUCGUCAAGUCUGAUGUGAAUGACAGGUUUUUACCCCAAGCAGUAAUCAUCUUGACCUUGUGCUGUAGGGUUAUUGAAUAAGAGUGUCGCCCUUCAAUUGUAGAGUCAAUAGUUAAGUACGUUUGAAAAUUCAAAAUCAGUAACAAAAACCCUCGGAAAAAGGUGUACCCGUCCGAAACCUUCUCGCUGCAUUACAUUACCAGUGUUAAUUUCAACAUCAGGCGCUGCCAGACAAAGCGCAAACAAAACCAACUGCCCGGCGUUUUAAUGAGCCAGUCACCUUCACCGUAACAACAAGUUCUCGUUACCCGUGGUAGAACCGAAAGAUCACAUUUUGCUUGAAGAUCGCUCCCCGAGAUAGUGUUCGCUGAUGCUGGCCCAAAGCGGCCUGUAUCAGAUCGUUUUCGCUGAUUCUAGCGUUAGAGAAGUCCUCCGAAGACGCUUCCGUUAGCUGGGGGUUGCUUUGCAGUUGCGUGAUAUUUUUGCUGGUGUCUUCUAUCGGGUCCUGCAGGUCAAAGAAACUCCUCACUGGUAAUCCACUCAACUCGCGCAAUCGAUGCUUGCGUACUACGCUUUCGUCGCGACGAAUUUUCCAUCGUUCGAUAAAUCUACCGGAAGUGGUAGAGCCGAUGGCGGUAAUCGAAAUGGUACCGAACACCAACAAUAACAAUUGCGAUCGUAUCAUCUGGGAACACGCGAUGCGACUAGCUACAAGCACUUGCUGAAAACUGCGGUAGAGCUCCUGACGCUGUCAGAAAUCAACAACGCACUGGGGUACUCGUAAUGGGGGUAAAUCUUGUAGCGAGCAUCACCGCGCGAUAGGACCCAUUUUAUGAACGAAGCGCCUUGAACGAGCGCUUUGAACCGAAAAUUUAUUCUACGACUAACUCAUCUAAAGCGAUGAUACUACUGAAGCUUGCACCGAAUGUCUUGCCUAAAAUAAACCGAUAAAUGGGGACGAAUUCGAUUUGGAGGUUGCUAUGCUAAUCAACUGCAUGGGGGUUUGCUUUCGAACCGUAAAACUUUUCCUCUGCCAGCAACAACAGUAAUUUUUAUCACCUUCCAAUUUGAUGACAGUACCCAAAACUGGUAUAUGGGAAUAAGUGAACAAAUUUCCGCAGGCAGUUUGAUGAGUUGCUAAUUGAAUGGUGCUCAACACGUUAUAAAGGUAUGAUAAAUUAGUUAGUUUUUUGAACCUUUGUCAAAGUUAACCUCGUUAUCUA